CGUGUGCAACGUGAAUGCUGCGCGUCUUAGAUCUGCUACGCGCCGCGGGAUUUACGGCCGGCAGAUCGGCCCGUGCGAUUCCGGGGGAGCAAGGUCCUCCUGGGUUUCGUAAAAACGGGAAUUAGAAACUAUCGAAGCAGGUGUGACAACCGGGAACGGGAUAACAAGCGGCACGCCGCGGCGCUGCCACGUUUAGUCGUCGGCGAACCGAUGCGACAGAAUCAGGAGUGAAAAGCGAGCGCUGUCCAGGAGUCACGUGAUGCCGCGCGGUGGUCCUCUCGCGUCACGUGAGCCAUCCCCACUCCUUGCGCUUGAAAUCUACAUUAGUCCUCCCACCGCCACGCGUGUGACGGAAACUCCGGCGCAAGUCGUGUCCGACAUGAAUUACAAGCUUAUGAAAUAUCGGGGAAAAUUGACUCGCGGACCACACAGGUCGCUGCUGCGAGGCCCUUGUGGGACGAACGUUGGUGGCACGGCGAUUUCUGUAAUUUGCUGGCUCGUUACGUUCGUCUGCGCCGUUUCCAUGGGAUCCGUGUUAUUACCUUGGAACGCGGGCAAUGAUACUUCGAUCUUUUCGCUCGGCGUGCCACGCACUUAGCGCGACGCAGCUGCGCGCCUCGAUGCGGGCGCGCGUACACGCGGCCGCAUUUACGCUCCCCGUUCGACCCCGGGCCAUUGAUCUGUUGAUCUAUACGCACCCGCGUGACCGGCCUCGUUGCGAAACCAUCGAAUGCUGUGGGAGAUAGCGGACGCGGGAAUUCGAAUCCGGCUGGCACGAUAGCCGCGAGAUAUUUUCAGGGAAAUACAAAUUUUGUUUGACUUGAAAUCUGGCUUACUCUUCUGGCAACCGUGGGAAUGGUUAGCUUCUUCAAUGCUAUGCGCACUUAAUAAUUUAUAAACGAGGUAGGCAACUCAUUAUAUAUAUAUAUUAUAUAUAAAAGAGAGU